rnacentral:rRNA from 1 species
UGCUUGGGAAUCUGCCCAGUAGUGGGGGACAACACGGGGAAACUCGUGCUAAUACCGCAUACGUCCUACGGGAGAAAGUGGGGGAUCUUCGGACCUCACGCUAUUGGAUGAGCCCAAGUCGGAUUAGCUUGUUGGUGGGGUAAAAGCCUACCAAGGCGACGAUCCGUAGCUGGUCUGAGAGGACGAUCAGCCACACUGGGACUGAGACACGGCCCAGACUCCUACGGGAGGCAGCAGUGGGGAAUAUUGCACAAUGGGGGAAACCCUGAUGCAGCCAUGCCGCGUGUGUGAAGAAGGCCU